UUUUUUUUUUUUUUUUUUUUUUUUUUUUUUUUUUUUUUUUUUUAACCAAUCUGUAAUUGUUGUUUUUUACUUUUUUUAAAAGGCUAGAACCGGAAGGGACAGAUGAGGUCUUCGCCUGCAUUGAA
rnacentral:ribozyme from 12 species